rnacentral:rRNA from 1 species
AUUGAACGCUGGCGGCAUGCCUUACACAUGCAAGUCGAACGGUAACGGGCCUUCGGGUGCCGACGAGUGGCGAACGGGUGAGUAAUACAUCGGAACGUGCCCGAUCGUGGGGGAUAACGAGGCGAAAGCUUUGCUAAUACCGCAUACGAUCUACGGAUGAAAGCAGGGGACCGCAAGGCCUUGCGCGGACGGAGCGGCCGAUGGCAGAUUAGGUAGUUGGUGGGAUAAAAGCUUACCAAGCCGACGAUCUGUAGCUGGUCUGAGAGGAUGAUCAGCCACACUGGGACUGAGACACGGCCCAGACUCCUACGGGAGGCAGCAGUGGGGAAUUUUGGACAAUGGGCGCAAGCCUGAUCCAGCCAUGCCGCGUGCAGGAUGAAGGCCUUCGGGUUGUAAACUGCUUUUGUACGGAACGAAAAGCCUUCUUUUAAUACAGGACGGUCAUGACGGUACCGUAAGAAUAAGCACCGGCUAACUACGUG